AUUGAACGCUGGCGGCAGGCCUAACACAUGCAAGUCGAGCGGAGCGGCGGACGGGUGAUUAAUGCCUGGGAAUCAGCCUGGUAGUGGGGGAUAACGACCGGAAACGGGCGCUAAUACAGCAUACUAUCAGAUGAGUCUAGGUCGUAUGAGCUAGCUGGUGGGGUAAUGGCCUACCAAGGCGACGAUCCGUAACUGGUCUGAGAGGAUGAUCAGUCACACUGGAACUGAGACACGGUCCAGACUCAUACGGGAGGCAGCAGUGGGGAAUAUUGGACAAUGGGCGAAAGCCUGAUCCAGCCAUGCCGCGUGUGUGAAGAAGGUCUUCGGAUUGUAAAGCACUUUAAGUAGGGAGGCGUUACCAACAGAAUAAGCACCGGCUAACUACGUGCCAGCAGCCGCGGUAAUUC
rnacentral:rRNA from 1 species